AUAUCAUUUUGAGGAAUUCUAACAGAGGUUUCUAUUGGUAGUGUAAGUUGGGCAAAGUGUCUUAUUUUUUAAAGUAUGUAAAAGUAAAAUUACAUGUUAAUACGUAGUAUUAAUGGCGAGACUCCUGAGGGAGCAGUGCCAGUCGAAGACCGAGGCUGAGACGGCACCCUAGGAAAGCGAAGCCAUUCAAUACGAAGUAUUGUAUAAAUAGAGAACAGCAG
rnacentral:ncRNA from 2 species